rnacentral:rRNA from 1 species
AUUGAACGCUGGCGGCAGGCUUAACACAUGCAAGUCGAGCGGAGAUGAGGUGCUUGCACCUUAUCUUAGCGGCGGACGGGUGAGUAAUGCUUAGGAAUCUGCCUAUUAGUGGGGGACAACAUUCCGAAAGGAAUGCUAAUACCACAUACGCCCUACGGGGGAAAGCAGGGGAUCUUCGGACCUCGCGCUAAUAGAUGAGCCUAAGUCGGAUUAGCUAGUUGGUGGGGUAAAGGCCUACCAAGGCGACGAUCGGUAGCGGGUCUGAGAGGAUGGUCCGCCACACUGGGACUGAGACACGGCCCAGACUCCUACGGGAGGCAGCAGUGGGGAAUAUUGGACAAUGGGGGGAACCCUGAUCCAGCCAUGCCGCGUGUGUGAAGAAGGCCUUAUGGUUGUAAAGCACUUUAAGCGAGGAGGAGGCUACUGAGACUAAUACUCUUGGAUAGUGGACGUUACUCGCAGAAUAAGCACCGGCUAACUCUGUGCCAGCCGCCGCAGUAAUAC